ensembl:lncRNA
AAGGCCACUGGUGAAGGCUACUGGUCAAGGCUACUGGUGAAGGCUACUAGUGAAGGCUACUGGUGAAGGCUACUGGUGAAGGCUACUGGUGAAGGCUACUAGUGAAGGCAGGGCAGGGAGGCUACUGGUGAAGGCUGCUGGUGAAGGCUACUGGUGAAGGCUACUAGUGAAGGCUACUAGUGAAGGCUGCUGGUGAAGGCUACUAGUGAAGGCUACUGGUGAAGGCUACUGGUGAAGGCUACUAGUGAAGGCUACUGGUGAAGGCUACUGGGGAAGGCUACUGGUGAAGGCUACUAGUGGAGGCUACACCUAGUCAGUGAGUGAGUAAGUGAAUGAGUGAGUGAGUAAGUCAGUGAGUGAGUGAGUGUGUGUGUGUGUGAGUGAGUGAAUAGCAGUAUCUGAGUGAGCAGAUAGAGAGCCACAGAAUAAUACAGAAUACCACGACAGAACAAAGUGUGGACCCCUUUGGAUUUGGAUGAGGUGGAUUGGACUAUCUCCAGAUGCUCAGAUUAUAGAUCAACUAUCUGUUGAAACUCUGUUAGGGU